GAUGAAGAACGCAGCGAAAUGCGAUAAGUAGUGUGAAUUGCAGAAUUCAGUGAAUCAUCGAAUCUUGAACGCACAUUGCGCCCCUUGGUAUCCCGAGGGGCAUGCCUGUUCGAGCGUCAUUUCACCACUCAAGCCUGGCUUGGUGUUGGGCGACGUCCUCUUUGGGGACGCGCCUCGAAACGCUCGGCGGCGUGGCACCGGCUUUAAGCGUAGCAGAAUCUUUCGCUUUGGAAGUCGGGGCCCCGUCUGCCGGAAGACCUGCUCGCAAGGUUGACCUCGGAUCAGGCAGGGAUACCCGCUGAACUUAAGCAUAUCAAUAAGCGGAGGA
rnacentral:misc_RNA from 1 species